rnacentral:rRNA from 1 species
GCCCCUGCGGAGCAUUAACUACCUUGGUGGGGUAAAGGCCUACCAAGGCGACGAUGCGUACCCGACCUGAGAGGGUGAUCGGCCACACUGGGACUGAGACACGGCCCACACUCCUACGGGAGGCAGCACUAGGGAAUCUUCCGCAAUGGGCGAAAGCCUGACGGAGCAACCCCGCGUGAGUGAUGAAGGUUUUCGGAUCGUAAAGCUCUGUUGCCACGGAAGAACGCUUGAUAUAAUAACUGCUCUUGAAGUGACGGUACCUGAGAAAAAAGCCCCGGCUAACUACGUGCCAUUGCCGCGGUAAUACGUAGGGGGCAGGCGUUGUCCGGAAUUAUUGGGCGUAAAGGGCGCGCAAGCGGCUCUUUAAGUCUGGUGUUUAAUCCCGAGGCUCAACUUCGGGUCGCACUGUAAACUGGAGAG